CAAAGUGCUGGGAUUACAGGCGUGAGCCACCGCGCCCGGCCUAAUAAAGGACAAUUUUUAAUAGCCACUGGACUAUUUAAGUGAUCUCUUCUGUCAGUUUCUUUUACCAUCAGAGGACACAGCAGCAAGGUGCCAUCCUAGAAGCAGAGAGCAGACCCUUACCAGACAACCAACCAGCUGGUGCCAUGAUCUUGGACUUCUCGGCCUCCAGAACUGCACUUAAACACGCAGCAUGAGGAAAAUGGAACAACAAUCUUGAGGUGCCUUCUGAAUCAUCAGAUUAAAUUAUGCUUCGGUCUUGCACUGCUGCCUAGGCUAGAGUGCAGUGGUGCAAUCAGGGCUCACUGCAGCCUCACUCAACUUCCCAGUCUCAAGCCAUCCUCCUACCUCAGCCUCUGUUCCACUAAUCUACUUGUCAAUUUUUCCAGCAACACCACACCCUCCUGAUCACCAUAGCUUUAUGCAACAACAAGAAACAAAUUUAUUAGCUAACCUAACCACUAAUGACGCAAGAGACAAUUCUAAGGACUUUCAAAACAGCAAAGUAGGAGCAGCUGCUACCUCUAGGGAUGAGGGAUGCAAUUGUCCAAUUAUUGGUGAAAUUGUCAUUUCAUGCUAUUGGCUAUUUGAAAUUCCUCCUCUAAUUUCCUUUUCCUGAAGCCUUUCUGGCCUUCUAACUCUGGCUGAAGACCACCUAAAGAAGGAGAAGGAUGUGACUUAGGGGUAGUUUCUUCUAGAAAGAUAAAGGAGGAGAACAUCUAGUGUUGACUUGGAAGUGGGAAUAUUCAAGGAGAGAGAGAGAGAGAAAGAGAGAAUUCCAACUUCUAACCUCCUUCGUUUGAAACUCAUAGGAGUUCAGAAUAAAUCACUGAAAUUGACAUCGGCCAGUCUGAAUUUCAAGAAAUUACCUGCUGAAGACAAGAGGGAUCUCUUCUUCAGAUUUGCAGUCUGGGGAAGACACAGCCUCUACUGUACUUUAGAACCUGAGAUAUGGUGGUGGAGGGAGCCCUGGGUCGAGUGGUAAGAUUCACCCUUAGGUUAGUAUUGACGUAAGGUGACGAGGAGCUGUAGACAAAAGAUUGUAACCAUAAGAACUUCAUAGUUUUUGUAUUUUCACCGAGCUUAUAUUUGGUGUGUUUUUUGUCUUUUCUUUAUGAUUAUCAAUAAAAUGCUUGAAAG
rnacentral:lncRNA from 1 species